CGUCCCGUCCGUGGUACCCUGAACAAGCCCCGUCCCGUCUGAUCUCGGAAGCUAAGCAGGUUCGGGCCUGGUUAGUACGUGGAUGGGAGACCACCUAGGAAGACCAGGUGCUGUAGGC
rnacentral:rRNA from 1 species